rnacentral:tmRNA from 1 species
GGGGUCGUUUGGUUUUGACAGCGGGUAUGUGGAUUUGUAAGCAUGUCGGAGGUUGUGAGACGGUUCCGUUAAAAACUAACUCUCCAUGCCAAUAAAUGGCGAAUCUUAUGCAUUCGCAGCUUAAUUGCCGCGAAUCUCGCGACACGGACAAGGUCCGUAGUUGCGGGUGCUUCCCCGGAAGCCACGCCCGCCGGCGUCCGGACCGAAGUAUCGGAAAUGGCAGACUAGUGACCGCAGGCUUCGAUGCGGGAGCGAAACUUUAGAAGAUAAGCGACAGGCCGGUUGGUCCGGCACCUCCCUGUUGCCGACAAUCAAGCCGAGACUAAACAUGUAGAAAGCACUUUUGCAACACGUUUGGACGAGGGUUCGACUCCCUCCGGCUCCACA